ensembl:lncRNA
AUGACCAAGAGUAGGAAAAUGACUUUUGGGAGCAAGGGUUUAGAUGAGAAAGCCACUUUAAAGGACAGUGCAGCUGGAAGAAAACAAGUAUCCACCCCUCUCAUUCAGAAAACAAGUAUCCACCCCUCUCAUUCAGAAAACAAGCCCCCUGGAGUGCUUGAAGCUGUUUUAAAUAGCAGAACCAGUCCUUCCUCCAGCAGUGUACCAGCCUCUUUGAGACCAUCACAAAUGUCUUUAUAAUGUCUUCAUCUAAAUACAGCCCUAUCCCAGCAACCAUAGAUAGACCUGUAAUGUCUCCCUUCCUUAUGCAUGGCUAUAGUUUCCCCUUCUCUGAUGCUGUCGUGACUGAACGACCAUAGUGUUAUUUUCACAUCUGAAGAAAGUAUGGCAAAGGAGUUUGGUGUAUUUUGUUCACUUGUUCUAAGUUUCACUGUUCACUUUGAAACUGAAAGAGUUCCACAGAGAUUCUACCACUGCUGCGUACAAGUUUUAGAUUAAAAGUUAAAAUGAACCUAAUGGCUGUUAGUACUCUGUGCUAAGCUUUUUGCAUGUUAUCUCACAAUCUUCCAAAAAACCCUAUGAAUUAGGACCUGUAUCUCAUUUUGUAGAUGACAAAAGUCUUGGAGAGGUAGCCUAAGAUUCAGAGCCUCUGAGCUGGUGGAGUGCUAGCCAGUCCAGUAAAACCCUACUCCUCUCCCAAUUAACUGUUUAAAUGGCAAAUAUCAAUAGAAAGCAAUAGGGAUGUAGGGAACUGAGGGUGGUAAUGCAAUCACAGAGGACAUCGAGGGGAUGUUCUGUAAGAGGAAUGGCAAGACAAAUGGAAAUGAAUAAAAGUGUUCUGGUGCUAUUUAGUGAGUUUUGAGUUUGAACUAGAGAUUCAGGUGUCUGCUUAUGGUGACAUUAACUCACAGGUAAAUGAGGUGGUUUAUGAAAAGCACAGUGAUAGACUAUAAAAGGCCACAUGAAUAUAUGGUAUGGUUUUGUCAGCUAUUUGAUUUAAAGGCAUGCUAGACACAUUUAUUUUCUUUAAGCUUGUGUUAACCUCACAACUACCAUUUCUAAAUUUGGAUUUCUCCUUACAAUCUUUAAAAUACAAAAAAAAAAAAAAAAGAACUUAAAGUUACAGGGUUUGCUGAAACCUAAGCAUUCUAAAAUUCACAUUUCUAAUGUAGCAACGUCAAAAACAAGUUGCAACGAAUACAAAAAAAAAUUUAACGGGGUUUGAUUAAAUAAAACCUUUGCAAACAUGUUAGCUAAAACCAACAAAAGUGUAAAGAAAAAAAUGUUACUCGGGUGUUUUUUUAAGUCUGUUACUAACCACUUCGCUUGUAUUUCAUCCCUUUAAAUAGCGCUGAACCUGUUGUCCCAGAUCAUUUUACAGACAAUUAGUUCAAUCUGUAGGAUCUGAAAUAAAAUAGUCUCCUUGUAAGACAAAAGCCACACUUUACCACUACCUCCUAUGAACACCUUCUGGAGCUUUGUUGUGUUCACACCUUUCCGAGGUUUGGACAUAAUUUUUAUUCUUACCUGUAGUGGACGGUUUUAUCCAAGACGCUGCUCAGACACCCGAUCUCCUUGUACUAUUUAAUUUCUUUUAUUCCCUUUUCUUGGCUCCAUUCCCGGACGGAGAGGAAAGACAGGUGCCUGAGAGCGGCAGUGAUCAGACCCUCAGCGGGGAAAAUAGCUAGGAUGCGGAAGGGACCGGCUACCCCUUCUGUUUCUAGCGCCCUAGUGCCUACAUGAUAAGGAUGUGAAACGUGAGCCGCCCAAAGAAACUUCCCCAAACCCCGCCCACCGCCCUGCAGGCCACGCCCCAGUACGUGCUGGGGCGCAGCACUGCAGCCCUAGCCCCUCCCGGGACUGGGGCCAGCGCGAGGCAGCAGGAGCGGCGCGUGGAGCCGCUGCCCCAGGCUCCCGCCUACGUGUGGGAGAGCAUGUGGAGGCACUGCCCCGCCCGGCCUUGGGAAGCACGCGCGCGGGCGGGUGAUCGCGGGGAGGCGCUUGGCGCGAGGGCUCCGCGUUGCUUGUUGUCUUCUGAGACUCGUCGGAUUUUGCUGCCCGCCCUUCCUCAAACUUGGUCGCUUUGGAAGUUGGGGUUGCGGAAGGAGAGGGGUAGAAGGUGGCCGAGAGAUCUGAAGGACUGAGACAGGAAUUGUUGCUCUAGUUAGAACUGUCUUCUGAACUCUGAAGCAGAUAGAUGCUUUGGAGUGAUCCUCCACCCAAAUACCGAGAAAAUCCACCAGAGAAAUACCGAGGGUUGCCUAAAAGAUUGAGUAGCUAUGUAAGAUUUUUAAAAUUACUCAUCUACUAAUAACUGGUCAAAAAUAGAGUUGUGUGUUUAUUUCAAGAUAUUAGCCUUAAAGGCACUCAGAGACUUCGUUUAUUUUAAAUUAAGCAUUUGAGAUAUGCCUGAUUAAUAGAAACUUUAGCUUCCCCAGGUGGGUUUUUAUUGUUGGUUUGGUUUUUUUUGCCUGUCCUGUUUUUUGAAUUUGUUGUGUGACUGCACCCUGAGAAUCCUUUGGGAGAAGAUAAUCUUUUUGGACAGAAGGGUAGUGAGUUUACGCAAAGUGGAAAAGCUCGGAGCCUUAAAUUGAAUCUGUAAUUAGUUUAUGAUUACGCAGUUUAUGAUUACGCAGUCUGUUGUAAAGUGCGGGGCGAGGUAUUGUUUAGAAUAAAUUACCCUCUGUAUAUCCGCAGCAGACUACGUUUUAUAUUAUGUUUUCUUCAGGAAAAUUCAUUAUUUAUGUUUUCUCAAAUAGAAUUCCCUAAAAAGUAGGACAUUAAACAUUCUCUUAUUUGACAUGUAAAAAAAUGGGGCUGAGUUGUUGUGAAUAUUUUUUCCUAAUAAAGCCUGAUGUGUAGCCUCAGUCUCUGUGUGUGUUUAAUUAGAGAAGUGCCCUUCAGGGAGAGUGCUACAACCCUUUUCAUCUUAUGGAUGUUCAAUCACUGUAAACUGGUGAUUCUUUCACAGAGGAGAGCAAACUGGAGGUCUGGGGGAGUGAUAUGCUUUAAUGUUUAUCACGAAAGCAUUUUUUAAAAUUGCAUAUGUAGCCUGACAAGUAGGCUAGAAUACUGUCAAGUCAAAUAUUCUUUAGGGAUCUUUGGAAUAUUAAAACAUUAAGAAACACUAUUUUAUGUAGAGAUCUUUUCCAUAUAUUUCUGGACAAUAUUACUGGCUCUUUGAAAAAAAUUUUUUUUCAAUGCUUCCACACAGAACUGCUUAUGAUUACUUGAACAGGACUACUGGACAAGUUUUGGGGUAAGCCUUUAUAAACUUGCCUGACUGCCCAGCCUGCAGGUAGACUAUUUAAAGCAAAAACUUAACUGAGAUAAAAUUAGAGACAAUCACCAAUUAGAGAGGAGCGUGGAGAGCCUGGGUAGGUGGUUUGCCUCUUUCUAGGCAAAUUCAGCUGCUAAUAUUUUUCGGCCCUAUGAACAUCACCUUAAGCCCUUGCUUGUGAAUAUUUUUUCCUAAUAAAGCCUGAUGUGUAGCCUCAGUCUCUGUGUGUGUUUAAUUAGAGAAGUGCCCUUCAGGAGAGUGCUACAACCCUUUUCAUCUUAUGGAUGUU